GAAUAUUGCACAAUGGGGGAAACCCUGAUGCAGCGACGCCGCGUGAGUGAAGAAGUAUCUCGGUACGUAAAGCUCUAUCAGCAGGGAAGAAAAUGACGGUACCUGACUAAGAUGCCCCGGCUCACUACGUUCCAGCAGCCGCGGUCAUACGUAGGGGGCAAGCGUUAUCCGGAUUUACUGGGUGUAAAGGGAGCGUAGACGGCAGGGCAAGUCUGGAGUGAAAGCCCGGGGCUCAACCCCGGGACUGCUUUGGAAGCUGCCUGGCUAGAGUGCAGGAGAGGUAAGAGGAAUUCCUAGUGUAGCGGUGAAAUGCGUAGAAAUUAGGAGGAACACCAGUGGCGAAGGCGGCUUACUGGACUGUACCUGACACUGAGGCUCGAAAGCGUGGGGAGCAAACAGG
rnacentral:rRNA from 1 species